UCCAUACUUCCUCCGUCUUAAAAUUCUUGUCUUAACAUUAUCUUAAAAUGGAUGUAUCUAAAUACUAAAAUUUGACUAGAUACAUUCAUAUUUAAACAAACCUAAGACAAAAUUUUUAAGACGGAGGGAGUACUUU
rfam:Hordeum vulgare subsp. vulgare, WGS project CAJW01000000 data, contig: morex_contig_62645